rnacentral:rRNA from 1 species
GAGGGAGGACGGCUUUUGGGUUGUAAACCUCUUUUAUCAGGGAAGAAUCGAUGACGGUACCUGAUGAAUCAGCAUCGGCUAACUCCGUGCCAGCAGCCGCGGUAAUACGGAGGAUGCAAGCGUUAUCCGGAAUUAUUGGGCGUAAAGCGUCCGUAGGUGGUUUAUCAAGUCUGCUGUCAAAGCGUGCGGCUUAACCGCAUAAGGGCAGUGGAAACUGAUGAACUAGAGUGCGAUAGGGGUAACAGGAAUUCCCAGUGUAGCGGUGAAAUGCGUAGAUAUUGGGAAGAACACCAGCGGCGAAAGCGUGUUACUGGGUCUGCACUGACACUGAGGGACGAAAGCUAGGGGAGCGAAAGGGAUUAGAUACCCCCUGUAGUCA